rnacentral:rRNA from 1 species
UACGGAGGGUGCAAGCGUUGCUCGGAAUCAUUGGGCGUAAAGCGCAUGUAGGCGGUCCAGCAAGUCGGGUGUGAAAGCCCUCGGCUUAACCGAGGAAGUGCAUUCGAAACUACUGGGCUUGAGUACUGAAGAGGGUCGCGGAAUUCCCGGUGUAGAGGUGAAAUUCGUAGAUAUCGGGAGGAACACCAGUGGCGAAGGCGGCGACCUGGGCAGAUACUGACGCUGAGAUGCGAAAGCGUGGGGAGCAAACAGG